GAUGUACUUUGAUUGGUUCUACGUAUUAUAUAAGGAGCAUCAGGUAAUGGCUGAAGGUUUGAAGAUCCUGGCUCAGAUUGAACGCUGGCGGGAUGCUUUACGCUACAAGUCGGGCGGCGGCGGACUUCGUGAAUCACGGUGGCAUUGUGAGCAGUUGAAGUAGCCAUGUCGAACGUGCCUAGUAGCGGAGAACAACUACGCGAAAGCGUAGCUAAUACCGCAUACGCCCUUCGAGGAAAGCAGGGGGACCUUCUGGGCCUCGCACUAUUAAACGACCAGUAUCGGAUUAUUUAGUUGGUGGGGUAACGGCUCGCAAGGCGACGAUCCGUAGCCAGUUUGAAGGACGACCAGCCACGCUGGGACUGAGACACGGCCCAGACUCCUACAGAGGAAGGCAGCAGUGAAAUUUUGGACAAAUAAAGGCUUCAGUCAGCCAUCCCACGUGCGAUGAAGGUAUUAGGUUCGCAAAACCUUUUGGCAGGAAAAGAAACGGCCUGGAUAAUACCCCGUGCAGCGGUGUACCUGCAGAAUAUAAGCACCGGCUAACUGCGUGCCAGCAGCCGCGGUGCAAUGCAUGGGUUGCCGUGUUAAUCGGAAUUACUGGGCGUAAAGCGUGCGCGAGCGGUUCGGAAAAGAUGUGAAAUCCCAGAGCUUGCUACAGGAACUGCAUUUUAAUACCGGAAGAAAACAAGAAAGGUGCUGUCAGGGAGGUGGAAUUUGCCGUCGCUGGUGAAAUGCGUAGAUAUACCCGAGGAGGAACACCGAUGGCGAAGGCAGCCUCCUGGGAUAACACUGACGCUCCUUGCACGAAAGCGUGGGAGCAAACAGGAUUAGAUACCCUGGUAGUCGCCUAAACGAUGUCAACUAGCUGUUGGGGCCUUCGGGCGCUUGGUAGCGCAGCUAACGCGUGAAGUUGACCGCCUGGGGAGUACGGUCGCAAGAUUAAAAUAAAGGAAUUGACGGGGACCCGCACAAGCGGUGGAUGAUGUGGAUUAAUUCGAUGCAACGCGAAAAACCUUACCUACCCUUGACAUGUCUGGAAUCCCGAAGAGAUUUGGGAGUGCUCGCAAGAGAACCGGAACACACAGGUGCUGCAUGGCUGUCGUCAGCUCGUGUCGUGAGAUGUUGGGUUAAGUCCCGCAACGAGCACAACCCUUGUCAUUAGUUGCUACGAAAGGGCACUCUAAUGAGACUGCCGGUGACAAACCGGAGGAAGGUGGGGAUGACGUCAAGUCCUCAUGGCCCUUAUGGGUGGGGCUUCACACGUCAUACAAUGGUCGGGACAGAGGGUCGCCAACCCGCGAGGGGAGCCAAUCCCAGAAACCCGAUCGUAGUCCGGAUCGCAGUCUGCAACUCGACUGCGUGAAGUCGGAAUCGCUAGUAAUCGCGGAUCAGCAUGUCGCGGUGAAUACGUUCCCGGGUCUUGUACCUGCUUCAUCACCAUAGGGUGGUUUACCAGAAGUAGUUAGCUAACCGUAAGGAGGCGAUUACCACGGUAGGAUUCAUGACUGGGGUGAAGUCGUAACAAGGUAG
rnacentral:rRNA from 1 species